rnacentral:rRNA from 1 species
GGUGAACGCUAGCGACAGGCUUAACACAUGCAAGUCGAGGGGCAGCACGGUGUAGCAAUACACGGGUGGCGACCGGCGCACGGGUGAGUAACGCGUAUGCAACUUGCCUAUCAGAGGGGGAUAACCCGUCGAAAGACGGACUAAUACCGCAUGAAACAGGGGCCCCGCAUGGGGAUAUUUGUUAAAGAUUCAUCGCUGAUAGAUAGGCAUGCGUUCCAUUAGGUAGUUGGCGGGGCAACGGCCCACCAAGCCGACGAUGGAUAGGGGGUUCUGAGAGGAAGGUCCCCCCACACUGGGUACUGAGACACGGACCAGACUCCUACGGGA